UACGGAGGGUGCAAGCGUUGUUCGGAUUUAUUGGGCGUAAAGCGCGUGUAGGCGGUUUCUUAAGUCUGAUGUGAAAGCCCCGGGCUCAACCCGGGAAGUGCAUUGGAUACUGGGAGACUUGAAUACGGGAGAGGGUAGUGGAAUUCCUAGUGUAGGAGUGAAAUCCGUAGAUAUUAGGAGGAACACCGGUGGCGAAGGCGGCCAACUGGACAGAUACUGACGCUGAGACACGAAAGCGUGGGGAGCAAACAGG
rnacentral:rRNA from 1 species